rnacentral:lncRNA from 1 species
GUUUCAUUUAGCGCUUGUAUGGAACUCAUGCUGGGGCUGUAAUUACUGUAAUCUCGGGAACAAGCAUUUCGGUUAGCCAGGAGGGUGGCAAAACGCGUUCCCUCUCUCCCUCUCUCCCCCUCCCUCUCUUCCCUCUCUUCCCUCUCUCUCUGUUGCGAGAUUUUUGCUGAUUGUCAGAUUUCAUAGCAAGACCGAGUAGGACUAGGGAGCCGAAGUUGUGGAGGGUGUGGGCACAGAGAAGCAGAAUUACAGAUGAAAGCUUUGAUGAUGUGGAAUGUGGAAUUUUUCGGAAAACGAUCCUGUCAGAAGGAGCUACUCACUGCUGUGUCUGCUGUAACAAGGCUAAGUGGGAUGGAAGGAGAUAACCGAGGCAAAUGUGUGCCACUGGCCAGGAAUCAGGUUCUCACUUGACAUGUGGCUGCCAUUUUGGAAAAUGGCAACUGCACUGUCAUUGUUUAAUUUUAUCAUUAUUCUAUAAUGUGUCUUAAAAAUUGAUAAUUGUUUCCCUCAUUCACACUGGAAUAUUGCCCAGAUGCGGAAACUCUUGUGAUAUAGGAUGCAUUGUGCAUGAGUUUGAGAACUUUUAGGUGCAAUAAAGACCUCCUAAGUGUAACUGGUUUAGCCAAGAAGGACACUUAAUUCAUCUCAUAUGUCAAUGAAUUUGGAAACAGGAAGUUCCACCAUUGGUUCAUUCUGUGACUCAACCGUGUGAGGCCUGCAGCUCGCCUUCUAGGCUCUCAGCUUCCCGUUUGGUUGCAGGGGGCCUGCCUCUGCGGAGUCGGCAUGCUUCCUGGGACAGCUGCCAAGGCAGGAAGAAUGGCAGGACUCCCCCUGUGCACCUCUGCCCUUGGAAAAGAAAGUCUGCCCCAAAGGCCUUUGACCAGCUGUAGGCUGUGGUGGGCGGCUGGUGACAGGUGGGCUCUUGUUGCAAGGAAGCCAAGGAGGGGAAAGUGACUAUUGAGCAGACGACAGUCAGCCACACGUUACUCUUUGAAACGAACUUUCAAGCAAUAUCAUUGAGCCAACAUGCCUAGUCUUCCAAAGUGUUUUGUUCAGGGCUGUGAGUUAAGUAUGAUCUAGAUCCAAGAAAACCUUGAUAUCUACAUUUUUUUCCUUUUGAAGAUCACACAAUACAGUUCUCUGACAGUUGGUGUGAAAUAAAUGUCGAAUGGUUUACUACUUGUUUUAUUUAUAAUAUUAUAAACUGCGUAGAGUUUAGUUCCUUACUUCCUUUUUAUUAAGCCCCUCCCCUCCUUUUGGGAGACUUCCUUAAAAAUAUUGACACAGGGGCCGCCCCGUGGCCAAGUGGUUAAGUUCACAUGCUCUGGUUCAGCGGCCCAGGGUUUCGCUGGUUCCGAUCCUGCGCACGCAUGUGGCACCGUCAUGAAGCCACACUCUGGCGGCGUCCCACACAGCACAGCCAGAAGGACCUGCAACUGG